rnacentral:rRNA from 1 species
AUGGAUGUGAAGGGCUUGAUGACACUGGAGCCCCUCUCAAACCUCUCCUCUCUUGUCACAUUAAAACUGUUGAAUUGUGGAGAGGGUCUGACAUGUCGGGGCUUGCAGCCUCUCCUUAGCACCGGGGGCCAGCUCAAAGAAUUAAGACUCUCUUUCAGCCCUAAAUUCUUUUCUGGUUGGGAGGACGUUGAAGGAGGAGGAGAGCAGCAGACACAUUUUGUUUCAUCCACACUGCAUGAGCUCAUGACGGAUGACGCAGCAGGAUUUCUUUCUGCACCCAUCUGCAGCUUCCUCUCGUCCUCCCUUACCAAGCUGAAACUUUGUGGGGACUGGUCUGAAGGGAUAGAGCGCUUCAGCAAGGAGCAAGAGGACGCCCUUCAGCUCCUCUCCUCCCUCCAGGAACUAGAGUUUUGGCAAUUUCACAAUCUUCAGCAACUCCCAGCAGGAUUGCACAACCUUACCAGCCUCAAGGAAUUAGCGAUCCACUCUGCAACCCUCUCGUCAUUGCCCAACGAUGUCCUCCCUGAAUCACUUCAAAAGCUAGUUAUUAUAUACGGGUGCAACGAGGAGCUAAAACGGCACUGCAGGGGGUUAGAGGGAACCAUCCCAGAACUCAUAAUACACUGA